rnacentral:rRNA from 1 species
GAUGAGCAUGCGUCCCAUUAGCUAGUUGGUAAGGUAACGGCUUACCAAGGCUACGAUGGGUAGGGGUCCUGAGAGGGAGAUCCCCCACACUGGUACUGAGACACGGACCAGACUCCUACGGGAGGCAGCAGUGAGGAAUAUUGGUCAAUGGGCGCAAGCCUGAACCAGCCAUGCCGCGUGCAGGAUGACGGUCCUAUGGAUUGUAAACUGCUUUUGUACAGGAAGAAACAACUCUACGUGUAGAGUCUUGACGGUACUGUAAGAAUAAGGAUCGGCUAACUCCGUGCCAGCAGCCGCGGUAAUACGGAGGAUCCAAGCGUUAUCCGGAAUCAUUGGGUUUAAAGGGUCCGUAGGCGGUUUAGUAAGUCAGUGGUGAAAGCCCAUCGCUCAACGGUGGAACGGCCAUUGAUACUGCUAGACUUGAAUUAUUAGGAAGUAACUAGAAUAUGUAGUGUAGCGGUGAAAUGCUUAGAGAUUACAUGGAAUACCAAUUGCGAAGGCAGGUUACUACUAAUGGAU